rnacentral:rRNA from 1 species
AUUGAACGCUGGCGGCAGGCUUAACACAUGCAAGUCGAGCGGAUGAAGGGAGCUUGCUCCUGGAUUCCGCGGCGGACGGGUGAGUAAUGCCUAGGAAUCUGCCUGGUAGUGGGGGAUAACGUCCGGAAACGGGCGCUACUACCGCAUACGUCCUGAGGGUGCAAGUGGGGGAUGUUCGGACCUCACGCUAUCAGAUGAGCCUAGGCCGGAUUAGCUAGUUGGUGGGGUAAAGGCUUACCAAGGCGACGAUCGGUAAGUGGUCUGAGAGAAUGAUCAGUCACACUGGAGCGGGAACACGGACCAGACGCCUACGGUAGGCAGCAGUGGGGUAUGUUGGACAGUAGGCGAAAGCCUGAUCCAACCAUGCCGCGUGUGUGAAGGAAGUCUUCGGAUUGGAAAGCACUUUAAGGUGUGAGGAAGCGCAUUAAGUUAAUACCUUGCUGUUUUGACGUUACCAACAGAAUAAGCACCGGCUAACUACGUG